rnacentral:misc_RNA from 1 species
GAAAUGCGAUAAGUAAUGUGAAUUGCAGAAUUCAGUGAAUCAUCGAAUCUUUGAACGCACAUUGCGCCCGCCAGUAUUCUGGCGGGCAUGCCUGUACGAGCGUCAUUUCAACCAUCAAGCCCCCGGCUUGUGUUGGGGACCUGCGGCUGCCGCAGGCCCUGAAAACCAGUGGCGGGCUCGCUGUCACUCCGAGCGUAGUAGUUACAUCUCGCUCAGGGCGUGCUGCGGGUUCCGGCCGUUAAAAAGCCUUAUUUACCCCAAGGUUGACCUCGGAUCAGGUAGGAAGUCCCGCUGAACUUAU